CUAAUAUUUUUUUCAACAUAAAUUUUUGCGUCUGGGAUUUUAGAACUAUUUCAUAUAAACUCUGUGUUUCAUAUUGGCUUGAACCUGGCAAGCCAUUUUGAUAACUGCGCAAAUCUCUCAGACAUGGUAAAUUGUAUCAAUAUAUUCACGUGUAAUUACCUCCAAAAUGAAAUGCCAGUGGGACUUUCAUAAAGAACUACACAUCUUGUCGCAAAGUAUGACGUCAAACCCUCAAGGCACAGUUCUCCACGCAAACUCCUCGACAAGUAGCCUAGCAAGAAACAGAUAUUAUAGGCGUUUUAGUUUCUCGUGUGUAUAUCGCUUGCUACCUUAACGUCAUUGAAUUACUAUAAUUAAUAAGUUAGCCUCUGCAGAUAACUAGCUAACCUUAGGUCUCUACGUCGACCAGAAGCAAGGAUGGUUCUGUGCUAUGUAACGUGACCGGAUUGUAACCACUACUCCAAUAAGCACAUGCACAUUUUAUCGUUUUCCAACCUCUAAGUGAGAGGCAUCGCUAGAGCUGUGUGAUAAGAUGGACGGACCAGAAACCCAGUGACACUCGGGUCUGUAGCUGCCAUUUUCCAGUGGGAAAUGUCUUUCAGAUGGACGGACCGGAAACCCAGUGACAACACUCGGGUCUGUAGCUGCCAUUUUCCAGUGGGAAAGAGAGAUGGCUCUGUAUUUACCAGAGUAGGUAGUUCAUCCAUCAUGGUGGAUGAGGAAGAUCCAGACUGUGUAUUGGGAAUCAAAAACAAACCAAUAGGAUUGAGUGUCCAAAAGGAGUGAAUCCCUCAGGCUAUCCGGUGCAUAGACAUCCUGUGUCAGUGUGAUCUGGUUGUGGAGACGACAGCAGAUCGGGCCUGUGGACAGACAGACAGGAGGCGUGACAUGUGGAACAUCAGGCACUCACCAUGAGAAGCAGUGCAUGAUCAACACCAGCCUCAGCAAGGAGAUCUUGUCAUGGCUGUUGAAGGAGGGGGACCAAGGUGCAACGUGUUCCCAGAUAUGCUGAGCAGUUGUUGGCUGCUUGUCCUUCACUCUGCGGUCCAACU